AAGUCGUAACAAGGUUUCCGUAGGUGAACCUGCGGAAGGAUCAUUAAUGAGAACUUGCCCUUCGGGGUAGAUCUCCCACCCUAUGUUUACAUUACUUUGUUGCUUUGGCAGGCCCGUCUUCGGACCACCGGCUUUGGCUGGUCAGCGCCUGCCAGGCCAAACCCAAACUCUGAAUAUUUAUUGUCUGAGUACUAUAUAAUAAAGGUUAAAAC
rnacentral:misc_RNA from 1 species